CUGAGCCCUGGGCAGCCAUUGUGAGCAGCAGCCAGACACAGACGGCUGGUAAAGCUUGGAUGGUGUGAUAGAAUGUACAGACCGCACACUGGUACCGAAGGGGUUAAAGAACAAUAUUGGGUUGAUAGCCCCACCCCUCCAGACCUGCAGUGCAUGCUCCAACUGGAGAGAAAACUUAAAAGGGAGCAGCUCAGCUCAGAAGAUGGGGCUCGGGAGGAAGGCAGACCUACCCUGAGGGCUCCUGAACACAGGUGCCAAAGAAAUCUUCCUGUGCGAGCAACAGAACUAUAUGCUGAUCCCAAUUGGGGCUGAAGGAGUGGCUACAAAGUGCUAAAAUGCUUUCCAGACUUUCCAGAAGGAUUGGUCCCUGCUCUGAGUAGCUCGUACUCUAAGGACAAACAGACAAGGGGACAGAAGAACACAAACAGGGCAG